GUAAGUUGUUGGCAAAGUCAUUAGGGAACUCAUAUUAUUCUCAAAAUCCUCUGUUAAAACAUAUAAGCAUGUAAGAAAAUGUAGCUAUCAAAAUUUAAAACGCCAAGGCAAGGCGUGUUCUACUGCCAAAUACUAGCACAACUUGAACUUAAUAAAGACCACUACACAAAACAGCUUCCUGAUUAUUGCACGCUUUAUUUCUAGCAUUUGACCUCCUUCAGCCCAGGUGCAAGGUAAAGAAAAGUUGGAUCGGUGGCACCUUCUUUGUAGUAUGCAAACACGAUUGAGCCCUCAUCAUGCAUGCUCUCACCAACAAAGCUGCAGAACACAUAAAAAGAUUCAGACAAUCAAUGAAUGUUUUCAUCCAAAAAUUUCAAAUGCGGAAGUAGAGAAAGAAUCCUGUUUCAUCAAAUAGGGUCGACACAGAGACAGGGAAAAGAUCGAGUGGACUUACAACUGAAGGUCGCUCAGCUUUGACAGGAGGUAUUUAGUUGCUCCUUCAAUGUUCUUUUUGAAGGCAUCCAACUUCUCAGGCUCCAACUUUGGACUUAAAUUCUUGAUAUAUUUCUUGAUGUAUGCAACAAACUGCUUUUUGUCGAAAGGG
rnacentral:lncRNA from 1 species